rnacentral:rRNA from 1 species
CCUACGGGAGGCAGCAGUGGGGAAUAUUGCACAAUGGGGGAAACCCUGAUGCAGCGACGCCGCGUGAGUGAAGAAGUAAUUCGUUAUGUAAAGCUCUAUCAGCAGGGAAGAAAAUGACGGUACCUGAGUAAGAAGCCCCGGCUAACUACGUGCCAGCAGCCGCGGUAAUACGUAGGGGGCAAGCGUUAUCCGGAUUUACUGGGUGUAAAGGGAGCGUAGACGGUAGUGCAAGUCUGGAGUGAAAGGCGGGGGCUCAACCCCCGGACUGCUCUGGAAACUGUACGGCUGGAGUGCAGGAGAGGUAAGUGGAAUUACUGGUGUAGCGGUGAAAUGCG